rnacentral:lncRNA from 1 species
UGUGACACCUUCAUCCUCUCCUUAGCCUUUCAUCUGUUUUGUCUUCUGAAUAUACAGUAUGGAGCCUCUACUACUCAAAAGGCUGAUUUUGGUUUAAAUCAUCUUUCAGGUACUUCCCAACUCUAAAACUAUGAUUCUAGGCCACAUAAUGGGGUAUUUUUAAAGUUGCUUCUACUUAAUUCUCUUUCCCUUUUUAAUGGUUCAUUUCAUACUGAGAGCUCUUGCCAAAAGAGAAUUGUUAAGCAUCCAUUUCCUGGGUCACCUGUAGGCUUGGUUCUCUUACCGAUUUAAGUGAGAAGAAAAAUUGUAUAGACAAGCAAAUGAGGGCAUUUUUCUAAAUGCCUCCUGGUAGUUAACCACUGAACACUUAUGUGCAACGUGUGGUAUACAUGACUUAAGGAGCCUAGUAAUAAGUAAACAGAACCUUCCCAAGCAAAAUUCCAACUGUGGCUUUAAACAAACAUGGACAUUAUUAUUAUUUACUCUAUUGAAUGUAAACUUGGAACUGAGAGGGGAAUUUUUUAUGCACUGGGUAAAUAAACUGUUAAGCUAGAUGACAUCUAAGGGGGGGUCUGAGUGAAUCACAGUCCUGUUCCUAAAACACAUUUCACAUACUAAUCAUAGUCAAAUACCUGAUGAGGUUACAAAAUCUAGGGUACCUAAUAAGGAUUUACAUUUUGAGACUGUUGUGACAGCCCAUAUUUCUCAGAAUUAUUUUGACACUUGAAUCUAUUCCAAGGUGUUGCUAUACAGGGUGUGUGACAGAAGGAUAUACAUACAGAAGCUGGUGCUGACUUACUGUACAUUUUUAACUACAAAAGCUUUACACCCAGUAUUGACAGUGAAGUAAGUUUCUAAAACUGAAAAGUCUCAAUCAAAGGAGAUCGCUGAACAGGUUUGUUUUUUAAUUCUCUUUUGUUUUUAAAGCCAAAAAAUUACACAAAACUUACUGUUACUACAAAUAGCAACUUUUUAAGAAAGCACACAUGUAUUACCACAGUAAAAGGGUUUCCUUUAAAAAAUGCAGAACUGGUAAACAUAAAACCUUUCCAUGCUUGAAUUGACAACUGUUUGGGGAAUAUACAUUGAAUGGCAUUGAUUAAUGGAGUAAAGUUUCCUUACCACUUGGGGAUUCUGUGAAAUUAUGUUCUAUUUCCUGUUGACCCAGCGAUACAGAUUAACAUCACUUGAUGCUAACUUCUCCAUAAAGGUACAAAAUGAAAAUAUCUUUUUUUCCCUUCACCUCUUCAAAUUAAAAAUACCUAAUAUUAAAAAUCUUUUAUGCACCACAGUUGCAGGUUUUUAGGCAGGAAAAUGUCCAAAUACAUGUUAGAAUCUAAAACUGACUGAAAAUAGGACACAGACAUCCAAGUAACCAGACAGUCUGUGUUUAAAAAAACUUUUAAAUUACUUUUAAAAUGUUUUGAUAUACCUAAUUUUUCAAAUAUUUUAUGCUGUUAAAAUAUCUAUUGCAUACUUUUUAUAUACGUAUUUUUAAAUUUUAAAAAGUUAAGGAAGUGUGCUGAGAUGGUGUAAUUUUAGACGUCCAGUUGCCAGGACAUUCAACUAGAUUCCCAAUCACCUCAUUCAAA